rnacentral:lncRNA from 1 species
GCAGAUUGAAGCUGCUUCAUUUCAUUCCUGAUUCAUCUUUAUCCCUUCUGUGGCUUGUUCUUGCAGUAGCAAUGUAAAACUCACCCAAAUGGCUUUAAAGUUGUCAGAACUUGCUCUUUACCAGUUCAAAUCUUUUCUCACAAGGAAAACUCAGUUCUGACCAGUUCAAAUCUAUUUUGACCUGUUUUAAGCUAAUUCUGCAGAGCUGGAGCCUGAGGUCGGUAAACCCAGGAAGAUGGCUGAAGACAAUGCUGAUUCGAACCAAAGCAAGGAAUCAGAUUCAGUUCCUAUUUCUUCCCGGACCUGUGGCCACCAGAAAUCCUGAGAUGUGCACAGGCCAUGGAUACUUCAUUCCUGAAGAAAACCUUCUACUUUUAUGGGAUCUACAACUGCCAGAUCUUAACUACUGUGCCUAGUUUGUAUCCCUUGCUUUUAUUGCACAUAAGAAUCCUGCUGGUGAAAGCCUCAUGUAUCUACAUCAUCCUGCCAAACAUCUGCAGACUAAUGUCCAGAUCAUGUGUACCAAACAAGGCCUACUGCUCCUUGUUUCCAACAUCUCUGAACCUCAUUUGACUUUACACCUUGGCUUUUGAUCCUCAACUCAUGCCUGCUUAAAAGCUUGAUCAGUUACUAUGGAUGUGCAUAUCUGGCUUCAUCUGGCACCUUCCUUCAGACCUGAUGUUUUGUAUUCCUACUGGAGAGCUACACACUAUAAUUUCAGGUAAGACUCUCUUUAUUUUCACCCAACUGUCUGGGUCACCUUUUUUCCCUAAAUCCCCUACAGUAUGAAUUAGAAGCUUGGAUACACUGUACAAAUGGAGGAUAGCACUAACCUAAAUAGGAAAGUAAAAGCUAACUAUCAGAUACAAAGGAGAGCUAGAGGUGAUCAAUGUGUAUUCAUAAGUUCUUCUUUCCACAGACCACCUGCAACACCCUCAAUGCCAGUCUAACU